rnacentral:rRNA from 1 species
GACGAACGCUGGCGGCGUGCUUAACACAUGCAAGUCGAACGGAGUGGCGAACGGGUGAGUAACACGUGGGUGACCUGCCCUGCACUUCGGGAUAAGCCUGGGAAACUGGUUCUAAUACCGGACAGUGUGGGCGGGGCCCGCGGCCUUUCAGCUUGUGGGUGGGGUAAUGGCCUACCAAGGCGGCGACGGGUAGCCGGCCUGAGAGGGUGGACGGCCACAAUGGGACUGAGACACUGCCCAGACGCGUACGGGAGGAAGCAGUGGGGAAUAUUGCACAAUGGGCGGAAGCCUGAUGCAGCGCCGUCGCGUGGGGGAUGACGGCCUUCGGGUUGUAAACUCCUGUCACCAUCGACGCGGUAGAUGGAGAAGAAGCACCGGCUAACUACGUGCCAGCAGCCGCGGUAAUUC